CUGGAGUCCUUGUGGCUAACCCAAACGGAUAGGUACCAAAUCAGAGAUGGGAGUCAAUCUCAAUUCGAAUUGGAGAAGGAGACACCUUCCUGUAUUCCCAAUAAAAGGAGGGCUUUGUCACAAUGCUCUACACCCCUGCUUCUACACAAAGAAUCAGAAAUUACUCCCUUGUUCGCAAAAAUUGGAUUUUCUGCUACGGGUUUGGAACGAUUCUUCAAGCAAUUGGCGCGUGCUUCCACAACUUGUCUCUAGAAUCAAAGUCUCGGACAGGUAGCUCGACUGCAUAGCACCAUUCUUGAAGUCAAAGCAAUUGUUGGUUAAACUUUCUCUACUGCUACUCACCGAAAACAAUUAAUAUUGCUGCAGUUUGCCUUUGUUGUUGUCUUCAUAAGCCACCACUUCACACAUUCAAUUAUAUUUGGCAAUAUAAACCAUGUUUUUGUCUUCUUGCUUAUGACAUAAAGCAAAGCCAUGUUUUUGGCUUAAGUU